UUUUCAUUGACAAGGGAAACGUUUCAGAUGAAGAAUACAGAUGGUUUGCUGCAUUUGUACGCUUAUUGGGCUCAUUUGGAGCUAAAUUUGGGAAAAGAUCAAGCUGCAGCUGGUGGCUUUUGGGAGAGCCUGCGGGUCAAUGUUGGAAGCCUGGCAAGGUUAUAUAGCUAUGGAAAUUGAAUUGGGACAUUUAAAUGAAGCUAGGUCCAUCUACAGGAGAUGCUACAGUAAAAGAUUUAGUGGGACAGGUUCAGAG